rnacentral:lncRNA from 1 species
AAUUCAAGACUUCAAAACUCCAUGUCUAAGUCAUAGAGUUUGUAUUAAGGUUGUAAAAGUGUAAUUUUCAUUUAUUGGAUCGAUCAUGCAGGAGAUUAUCGUUUGGUGAUUGCGAUGAUCUUCUUUUUAUUAUUUAUGAGUUGUGUACGAACUUUGUAAAUAUAUUUUGUCACGAAAUCACCAAAGGGGGAGAUUGUUAAGGAUUUUAUAGGUUGGCGGAUUUCGUAAUGUUGAAUGGAGUUUUGGAGAGUUGAUUGCAGAAGAUUGAAGAAAAGAUCUAAAUUGAAGGAAAAAGACUCACUCGUAAAGUUCGGCA